CCUACGGGAGGCAGCAGUGGGGAAUAUUGCACAAUGGGGGAAACCCUGACGCAGCGAUGCCGCGUGAGUGAAGAAGUACUUCGGAAUGUAAAGCUCUAUCAGACGGGAAGAAAAUGACGGUAGCGGCUAAAGAAGCCCCGGCAAACUUCGUGCCAGCAGCCGCGGUAAUACGAAGGGGGCGAGCGUUAUUCGGAUUUACUGGGCGUAAAGGGAGUGUAGACGGAUCUGUAAGAUAGCGGUGAAAUGCCGGGGCUUAACCCUGGAACUGCAUUUAUGACUGUGUAUAUAGAGUAAAGGAGAGGAUAGCGGAAUACCUAGUGUAGAGGUGAAAUUCGUAGAUAUUAGGAAGAACACCGGUGGCGAAGGCGGCUUACUGGACUGUUACUGACGUUGAGGCUCGAAAGCAUGGGGAGCAAACAGGAUUAGAUACCCUAGUAGUC
rnacentral:rRNA from 1 species